rnacentral:rRNA from 1 species
AUUGAACGCUGGCGGCAGGCCUAACACAUGCAAGCUGAGCGGAGCGUCGGACGGGUGAGUAAUUCCUAGGUAUCUGCCUGGUAGUGGGGGAUAACGUCCGGAAACGGGCGCUAAUUCCGCAUACUAUCAGAUGAGCCUUGGUCGGCUUAGCUAGUUGGUGGGUUAAACGCCUACCAAGCCGACGAUCCGUACCUGGUCUGAGAGGAUGAUCAGUCACACUGGAGCUGGGACACGGUCCGGACUCCUACGGGAGGCAGCAGGGGGGAACAUUGGACAAUGGGCGGAAGCCUGCUCCAGCCAUGCCGCGUGUGUUAAGAAGGUCUUCGGCUUGUAAAGCACUUUAAGUUGGGAGGCGUUACCAGCAGAAUAAGCACCGGCUAACAUCGUGCCAACAGCCGCGGUAAUAC